rnacentral:piRNA from 1 species
UCCACAGUCAAAGUGCCAUUCGGGCUGUA